UGUAACUGCAGAGCCAACCAAAGACGCUGCUGGUCUCUCUCAAAGAAGGAAAGUAAAACAUUUUGUAUAAACCAACCCUUUGCUGUUUGUUCUGUUUGUGUGUGAUUUGUUCCCCUUGGUCAAGUGUUUCUCUCUCUCCCCCCAUACCCCCAUGACCGUGUGUGUACAUGUGAGAGAAGUCCCACCGUGUGUGUGUGUGUGUGUGAGAGAGAGAAAGUGAGUUUUAAGCUUCUUCUUUUAAAUCAUUUUCAAAGUAUGCCAAAAUUGUUCUAGCACAAAUUUGUAAGAAAAGCCCUCCCCAUCCCACCUUCUAGUGAGGAAAUUAGUCAGUACAAAUGUAUUAAAAGCUUUAAAAAAUAAUGGGGAGGGGGAGGAAUGCUUUGACAAAAUGGCUGUUUAUAGCUCUAAUCUGGUCUCUCUGUUUCUCCCCCCUCUCCCCUUAUUAAAAAUAUUUAUAUGCUGCUUUUUUAGCAACAGAGUUCUCAAAAUAGCUUAAAUAGCAAUAUAUGAGAAAAUGGUUCUCUCUCAACAUGUUUCCCCUUUGAAUAAUUGCUGUUUUGUUUUGCUUUGUGCUUGUAACAUGCUCCCCCACCAAAAGUCUAUUUUUGUAUACUUGCUUCAAAAAAAAGACUUUGCAAAUCAGAUCACCUCCGUAAGUGAGAGACGAGGGAAGAGUGGCAGGAUUAUCCAUACCAAAUCUGGUAUUGGCAGGCAGUUUUCCAACGAGGAUAGGACUUUCUAGUGCCAUGCAGACCACAAGGGAAGCCCACAGCAUGAUCAGCAACAGUGACCUAUAGUACUUCCAGCUGCUCCCCAUGGGGUUGGCCCAGCCUACUUGCUUCAGAUAGACUCCUGCGGCACCUUUGUAAGGCCAAUCUCAGGCAGUCAGGUAACAAGGGAAGACACCCAGCAUAGAAAUGGUCAUGAAGAACACCAGCCCUGCUAUUUUGCCCUCUGUCAUGAAAUCAAAGGCACAGGAGCCCUGCUGGGUUAAGAAAGCUGGUAACCCCAUUCAUCUCUCUGUUUCAGAACCAACUUCAUCUAAAAUGUUGUUGAAUAAAAGUUUUCACUUUGUCAGA